UGGAACAGCCCCCGGAGCCGGGGAGCUGAGCUAGGGAAGGCCGAGGGCUUUGCCAGCAGGCCAUUGUUAAUAAAACUCAUUACUCUGGGAAUGUUCCGAGGCAGCCCGACCCUUGUCUGCCUAAGAAAAUCAGCCUCUGCUCCUCAUUCUAAGCCCUUAUCCAACAUCCCCACCUGCAAGACCAGUUCCUGAGGGUCGGUAUGAAGAAGAGGAAAAGCACGUGGAGGACAGAGUAAAAUACGCAGACUAAGAGAGAAAGUAGGAUGCGGUGAUGAAAGUGAGAGCCGCUUGGAAAAAACUGGGAGAGAGGAGGAGGAGGUGGCGCUUGGAGCAGCAAAGACUCUGCGGUGUGUGCGCUUGCGAGCGAGAAAGAAUGGGGAAAGUAAUAGAUACUCGAAAGGCUGACUGGGUUGAUGAAUGGAAUUCCCCUCCGUAAUUUUUGGAGUCAUAAUUUUUGCCCCUUGGCCUGUGCUUCUUGAAGUGCAGCGUGCCUGGAGCCCGGGCCGUGGGGCCCACUCGGCUACUGAUGCUGUGGGAUCUAACCAGGACCCAGGAAGGGCCCCUCUGGCUGCAGUGAGAGAGGGGGACACGGGGCGACACGCAGUGUUCUCAGGAGGGCGGCACAGCUGCUGCAGGUGAGAAGUGCUGGGGACGGUCGAGAUCACCGGACGCCCUCAGAAAUGGUACUGCGGCUGGAGAAAUCAUUAACGAGGAAAGAAAGAACCCAAUUUCCGGGAGGCUGGGACGGGAGAAUUGCUUGAACCCGGGAGCAGAGGUUGCCGGGAGCCGAGAUCGCGCCACUGCACUCCAGCCUGGGCGACAGAGCGAGAUUCCGUCUCAAAAAAAAAAAAAAAAGAAAGAAAAGAAAAGAAAGGAAAAGAAAAGAAGAGAAAAGAAAAGAAAAGAAAGAAACACCCAAUUUCAGAAAGAGAUGAGAAUGGAGAGUUCAGAAGACACAAUUUCUCUCUCACACUUCUGCCUUCUGGCCACAUCCUCCCAGACAGGAUAAAUUUGAAGGUCCUUUCUCUCUGGCUGCCCUUAAUAUUUUUUCCUUCAUUUCAACCUUGGUGAAUCUGAUGAUUAUGUGUCUUAGGGUUGCUCUUAUCGAGGAGUAUCUUUGUGGUCUUCUCUAUAUUUCCUGAAUUUGAAUAUUGGCCUGCCCUGCUAGGUUGGGGAAGUUCUCCUGGAUAAUAUCCUGAAGUGUGUUUUCCAACUUGGUUCCAUUCUUUCUGUUACUUUCAGGUACACCAAUCAAACGUAGGUUUGGUCUUUUUACAAAGUCCCAUAUUUCUUGGAGGCUUUCUUCGUUCCUUUUUAUUCUUUUUUCUCUAAUCUUGUCUUCAUGCUUUAUUUCAUUAAGUUGAUCUUCAAUCCCUGAUGUCCUUUCUUCCACUUGAUCAAUUCGGCUAUUGAUACUUGUGUAUGCUUCACGAAGUUCUCAUGCUGUGUUUUUCAGCUCCAUUAGGUCAUUUAUGUUGUUCUCUAAACUGGUUAUUCUAGGUACCAAUUCCUCUAAACUUUUAUCAAGGUUUUUAGCUUCCUUGCAUUGGGUUAGAACAUGCUCCUUUAGCUCAGAAGAGUUUGUUAUUACCCACCUUCUGAAGCCUACUUCUGUCAAUUCAUCAAACUCAUUAUCUGUCCAGUUUUGUUCCCUUGCUGGCAAGGAGUUGUGAUCCUUUGGAGGAGAAGAGACAUUCUGGUUUUUUGAAUUUUCAGCCUUUUUGUGCUGGUUUUUCCUCAUCUUCAUGGAUUUAUCUACCUUUGGUCUUUGGUGUUGAUGACCUUCGGAUGGAGUUUUUGCAUGGUCUUCCUUUUUGUUGAUGUUGAUGCUAUUGCUUUUUGUUUGUUAGUUUUCAUUCUAACAGUCAGGCCCCUCUUCUGCCAGUCUGCUGGAGUUUGCUGGGGAUUCACUCCAGACCCUAUUUGCCCGGGCAUCACCAGCGGAGGCUGCAGAACAGCAAAAAUUGCUGUCUGCUCCUUCCUCUGGAAGCUUCGUCCCAGAGGCGCACCUGCCACAUGCCAGCUGGAGCUCUCCUGUAUGAGGUGUCUGUUGACCCCUGCUGGGAGGUGUCUCCCCAUCAGGAGGCAUGAGGGUCAGGGACCCACUUGAGCAGGCAGUCUGUCCCUAGCAGAGCUCGAGCACUGUGCUGGGAGAUCUGCUGCUCUCUUCAGAGCUGGCAGGCAGGAACAUUUAAGUCUGCUGAUGUUGCACCCACAGCCACCCCUUCCCCCAGGUGCUCUCUCCCAGGGAGACGGGAGUUUUAUCUAUAAGCCCCUGACUAGGGCUGCUACCUUUCUUUCAGAGAUGCCCUGCCCAGAGAGGAGGAAUCUAGACAGGCAGUCUGGCUACAGUGGCUUUGCUAGCUGCAGUGGGCUCCAGCCAGUCUGAACUUCCUGGUGGCUUUGUUUAAACUGUGAGGGGAAAACUGCCUACUCAAGCCUCAGUCAUGGUGGAUGCCCCUCCCCACACCAAGCUCAAGUGUCCCAGGUCGACUUCAGACUGCUAUGCUGGCAGCAAGAAUUUUCAGCCAGUGGAUCUUAGCUUGCUGGGCUCUGUGGGGGUGGGAUCUGCUGAGCAAGACCACUUGGCUCCCUGGCUUCAGCCCCCUUUCCAGGGGAUUGAAUGGUUCUGUCUUACUAGCAUUCCAGGUGCCACCAGGGUAUGAAAAAAACCUCCUGCAGCUAGCUCAGUGUUUGCCCAAACAGCCACCCAGUUUUGUGCUUGAAACCCAGGGCCCCUGUGGUGUAGGCACCCAGGGGAAUCUCCUGGUCUGUGGGUUGCAAAGAACAUGGGAAAAGCAUAGUAUCUGAGCCAGAUAGCACUGUCCCUCAUGGCAAGGUCCCUCAUGGCUUCCCUUGGCUAGGGGAGGGAGUUGCCCAACCCCUUGUGCUUCCCAGGUGAGGCGACACCGCCCCCCGCCUCUGCUUCGGCUUGCCUUCCGUGUGCUGCACCCACUGUCUAACCAGUCCCAAUGAGAUGAGCCAAGUACCUCAGUUGGAAAUGCAGAAAUCACCCACCUUCUGCGUUGGUCUAGCUGGGAGCUGCAGACCGGAGCUGUUCCUAUUCGGCCAUCUUCCCUGGGCAUCUCUGAAUCAGUUUUUAAAGAAAAAAAAAAGCCUGAGUGCAGCAGCUCAUGCUUAUAAUCCCAGCAGGAGAUCCCAGCAGGAGGUCAAGGCAGGAGGAUUGCUUGAGCCCAGGAGUUCAAGACCAGCCUGAGCAACACAAUGAGACCCCUUCUCUACAAAAAAUUAAAAAUUUAGCUAGGUGUGGUAGUGGCACACAUCUGUACUCCCAGCUACUCAGGAGGCUGAGGCAGAGGGUCACUUGAGCUGGGAGUUCAAGGCUGCACUGAGCUAUGAUCACGCCACUGCACUCUAGCCUGGGCAACAGAGCAAGACCCCAUCUCAAAAAAAAAGAAAGAAAAAAUAUAUAGUUUAAAAUGAGUUCCAGCUAUCUUUAAACUAUGCCCCACUUAUCACUGGUCUGAAUAAAGAAGGAGAAAGAGAACUUCCCUGUGCCAGAAUGCAGUCAGGUCUUUUUCACAGCCAGCUCCUGCUGACUUUAAGAAAGCUCAGCUUAUGCCAUCAGAGUGGAAUUCCUUGGCCCAGGGCCUCCAGCAGAAGCCCCCUGAGAGGACACCCUGACCCUCCAGCCCAUCCCAUCUCCUGACCUUCUCUGUCAUUGCUAUCUUGCCAGUCACCCCUCCGGCCCCCACUUCACCCAAGAUCUUCCCUGUGGGAAUGAACUGAAACAUCGAGAUUUUUCUGUGGUGAUCGAACUAGAGGACUCUAACUUUCACUUACAAGAUCUAUUCAUGUUUGCAACAACAUGUCAUGAUGGGUGGAGAAUACUAAUACCAAAGGACUGAGUCUCUUUAAAUAUGACCAACUGACUUAGCAGGCAGCUGGUGCCUUGGUUCCUUUCUAUCCCUCACACUUAAGAUAACUUGCCAAGACACUGAGGGAUAUUUUGAACCUUUCAGGCCUAAAAGCUGUGAUUUGGAUGGAAUCAAUAAAAUGGCAAGAGCUAUCUCCAACUUUGCCACCUGAGAAACACAAGUCCAAGUCCAAUACUUACAGAAGAAAUAACUAUUCCACCUAGUCAAGGAACUAGCCAACACUUAACUGAGGAUUGCCCUUGGUUAUAGAGCUAAGUGCAAAUGAAGUAACUAGAGGAAGACCAUUUACCUUCUCCGUUGAAGAGACCAUUCAAGAGCCAACUCAGCAACCAGGUUCUAGCAGUGUUACUGACCGGAUGACUAGCAUUUAGAGUCCAGCACCCUGCUGAGAAACCAGCAACCCAUGUGAAGAUUCCAUGGCCGACUGAGAUCACAAGACUCUUGAACAGAAGAAAUGCCAAGAGAGCUAGAAUCUUACAGAUGGUGGUAUUAAUAAUGGAGCAAACUAGAACCAAUGACAAAGACAUGAAGUCUGAAAAUAGCACAGAGAAUAUAAAUAUUGUGAGAUGAAUGUUCCCCCUCCAAUUCUCCUUAUUUGCCAAAUAUUUUCAUUUCCUUUUGUCAUUAUAGAAAAUAAAACCAUGCAUCACAGUCAAAAGUGCUCCACUAGCAACAUUGUAUGAUUCACUCUUUUUGUCAUACAUGUCUUUAGUAAUUGAUGGAUAUUAAAAUCACACAGACUAUUUAAUAAGGGUUUAUUUUACUUGCAUCGCCACUUUGAUUCAAAAAAAGAUUUAAGGUAGUUAAUAAGGUUAGAAGGAAAGAGAGUUAACAAAGACAAGAACUUUAACUAGAGUCAAAACUAAAGUCAAUAUUUAAGAAAUAAACACCACAUAGUCUCCCACGCUUUCUCUGGGUGACAUUUACAGCGGGUGACCAAGGAGAGGCUGAGUCAUCUUUUCCACCACUGUCUACCCUGAGGGUUCAUGCACACUUAGGCAGAGUUCAAACUCAGAAUUCGUUGAACAAAUGACAAGCAGCAU